GAUGAACGCUGGCGGCGUGCCUAAUACAUGCAAGCCGAGCGAACGGACGAGAAGCUUGCUUCUCUGAUGUUAGCGGCGGACGGGUGAGUAACACGUGGAUAACCUACCUAUAAGACUGGGAUAACUUCGGGAAACCGUAGCUAAUACCGGAUAAUAUUUUGAACCGCAUGGUUCAAAAGUGAAAGACGGUCUUGCUGUCACUUAUAGAUGGAUCCGCGCUGCAUUAGCUAGUUGGUAAGGUAACGGCUUACCAAGGCAACGAUGCAUAGCCGACCUGAGAGGGUGAUCGGCCACACUAGAACUGAGGCACGGUCCAGACUCCUACGGGAGGCAGCAGUAGGGAAUCUUCCGCAAUGGGCGAAAGCCUGACGGAGCAACGCCGCGUGAGUGAUGAAGGUCUUCGGAUCGUAAAACUCUGUUAUUAGGGAAGAACAUAUGUGUAAGUAACUGUGCACAUCUUGACGGUACCUAAUCAGAAAGCCACGGCUAACUACGUG
rnacentral:rRNA from 1 species